UUGUUUAUUAAAUAUUUAACUAAGAUUGACACGUUUUGACCAUAGUUUAUAAGGGCCAUUGGCGGGCGCUGACCAGGGACCCCGUGAGGGGCGACCCCGGCGGCCGUGAGGCGGGCCCGCCAAAGCAACAUGGUUGUAUUAACACAGGGUUGGGAGGUCGGGCCACGAGGACCCUAACUCGAUAAUGAUCCUUCCGCAGGUUCACCUACGGAAA
rnacentral:misc_RNA from 1 species